GACAGAGGCCUCGAGCGUUAGGCGGAAUCACUGGGCUUAAAGCGUGUGUAGGCGGGCCCGUAAGUGGCUUGUGAAAUCCCACGGCUCAACCGUGGAACUGCUGGGCAUACUGCGGGUCUUGGGCCAACUAGGGGCAGCCGGAACAAGCGGUGGAGCGGUGAAAUGCGUAGAUAUCGCGUGGAACGCCGAAGGUGAAAACAGGCUGCUGGGGUUGCGCCGACGCUGAGACACGAAAGCCAGGGGAGCAAACGGG
rnacentral:rRNA from 1 species